AUUGAACGCUGGCGGCAGGCCUAACACAUGCAAGUCGAGCGGAGCUGCGGACGGGUGAGUAAUGCCUAGGAAUCUGCCUGGCAGUGGGGGAUAACGUCCGGAAACGGGCGCUAAUACCGCAUACUAUCAGAUGAGUCUAGGUCGGAUUAGCUAGCUGGUGGGGUAAAGGCCCACCAAGGCGACGUUUCGUAACUGGUCUGAGAGGAUGAUCAGUCACCGGUGAACUGAGAAAAUGUCCAGCCUCCUACGGGAGGCACGAGUGGGGAAUCUUGGGGAAUGGGCAAAAGGCUAUACCGGCCAGGCCGCGUGUGUUAAGAAGGGCUUCGGAUUGUAAAGCACUUUAAGUUGGGAAGCGGUACCAACAGAAUAAGCACCGGCUAACUUCGUGCCAGCCGCCGCGGUAAUUC
rnacentral:rRNA from 1 species